rnacentral:misc_RNA from 1 species
CACCACUCAAGCCUGGCUUGGUGUUGGGCGACGUCCCUUUGGGACGCGCCUCGAAACGCUCGGCGGCGUGGCACCGGCUUUAAGCGUAGCAGAAUCUUUCGCUUUAAAGGUCGGGGCCCCGUCUGCCGGAAGACCUACUCGCAAGG